rnacentral:rRNA from 1 species
CACGUAGGAGGCGAGCGUUGUCCGGAAUCAUUGGGCGUAAAAGAGCGCGCAGGCGGCUUGGCAAGUCGGGUGUGAAAUCCCGGGGCUCAACCCCGUGACUGCAUCCGAUACUGUCAGGCUAGAGGUAGGUAGGGGAGAUCGGAAUUCCUGGUGUAGCGGUGAAUGCGCAGAUAUCAGGAGGAACACCAAUAGCGAAGGCAGCUCGCUGGGACGUGACUGACACUAAGGCGCGAAAGCGUGGGGAGCGAACAGG